AGUGAACGCUGGCGGUGGGCCUAACACAUGCAAGUCGAACGGCAGCACAGUAAGAGCUUGCUCUUACGGGUGGCGAGUGGCGGACGGGUGAGGAAUACAUCGGAAUCUACUUUUUCGUGGGGGAUAACGUAGGGAAACUUACGCUAAUACCGCAUACGACCUACGGGUGAAAGCAGGGGAUCUUCGGACCUUGCGCGAUUGAAUGAGCCGAUGUCGGAUUAGCUAGUUGGCGGGGUAAAGGCCCACCAAGGCGACGAUCCGUAGCUGGUCUGAGAGGAUGAUCAGCCACACUGGAACUGAGACACGGUCCAGACUCCUACGGGAGGCAGCAGUGGGGAAUAUUGGACAAUGGGCGCAAGCCUGAUCCAGCCAUACCGCGUGGGUGAAGAAGGCCUUCGGGUUGUAAAGCCCUUUUGUUGGGAAAGAAAAGCAGCAGGUUAAUACCCCGCUGUUCCGACGGUACCCAAAGAAUAAGCACCGGCUAACUUCGUG
rnacentral:rRNA from 1 species